rnacentral:lncRNA from 1 species
CGUUUCUGGUACCGAAGUGCUCACAUUGUUCAUAUCUACAGUCCCCCUCAUACCAAUAACUGAGCCUGAUGAAGCCAGAGAUGUGAUCUCAGUGUUGUUGGCCAUAUUGGUCAAUUUUACCCAUCCAGCUGGGUACCAAGAGCAGAGGAACAGAGGUACCUGAGUCAGAGCAGCGAGCAUGCCUCCGUGCUGUGAUCAUGCUUGUGAGUGCACAGCACAAGCCUCGUAUGCAAAACCUGCAGAGAUAAAAAUGGCUCUUGCUGCGCUGGCGCAGUGGCAACCACUGCAAAGCAAAGUGCUCCCCCGAGAUGUGAAACUCAGCAGUUUCCCACUGAGUGCUGGAGCAGCUGUGGAAGAAGGAAGAAUAAAAGGUGAUAUGAGUUAGAUUUAUGCUGAUGUAUGAGAUUUUCAGGGACAUGUAAACCAGGAGAAACCUAGAAAUCUGAGCCCAGCUUGGAAAACUGUAGCAGAAAGUCAUUGGGAAAUUGAGACCUGAAUCCCAGUUGUUCUGCACGUUUCUGUCAUUUGCAGUUGCAACACCAGUGUAAUAUUGCAUCUUCUCACCAGUGAAGGCGCUGGAUUUGCCUACCAGCCCAAAGGCAAGAGAAAAAUAAAGGACCUCUCUCUCGCUAAA